UUAAUUCAUAGGACCAAUGGUGGACUCGGUUCAGCUUCAUUGUUUAGUUCCAGCGUUGGUAUCAUCUGGGAAUGACAAAUCUUUGGGAAUGCCACUGCUGAAUUGGAGCUUUAGCCAUACAAGGAGGAACACCUGAGCUAUUUGUCAACACAAAGUCAAAAUAAUCUUUUGAGCCCCUUUUUGGGUUCUGGCAAUUCAGUCUUGGUGGAGAAAAUUUGCAACAGAUCUCAAAACUUGUGGGAUAAACACAUGGAGCUGGAGGCAACCUUUGACAGUUUUCAUUCUCAAGCUAGAUUGGGUUAGUUUCAUGGUAGAGCUAUUGGAGUUGAUAUUUUCUUAUCUUGGAUUUUGAUUAUCAUAUCAGUUUGGGCCGAAAUUUCUUUGUAUGUUACUGCUCUCAUGUUGUUUGAGCAUUGUAGUGAGGAGAGAUUAAGAUUCAUACUUGAAUUCUUUUUGACAGUUGACUUGUUAUUGGCUGGUUUUGAUUCAUAGGAUCAGUGGUGAACAUCAUUCAGCUUAAUUGUUUAGGUUCCACCAUUGAUGCUCAUGC